rnacentral:rRNA from 1 species
CGGGACCUCAGGUCAGGCGGGGCUACCCGCUGAGUUUAAGCAUAUCAAUAAGCGGAGG